rnacentral:misc_RNA from 1 species
CGGCCUUCGAGAUCGCGUAGGCGCCGAGAAUGGUCGAGCCCUUCAGGCCGCCGAUGGACGAGACGAUGAUGAUCGAGCCGUCCUUGCGCGCGAUCAUCUGCGNACCAUGCUGAUAAUCCAGUUGUUGGCGACGAUGUUGUUGCCGAGAAUCUUGCUGAACUGAUCGUCGGAGAUACCCGCGAGCGGCCCAUAGUACGGGUUCGACGCCGCGUUGCAGACCAGCACAUCGAUCUUGCCGUAGGCGCGGUUGGCUUCGUCGACCAGGUUCUGGA